AUGCUCAGGCAGCACAUAUGAUAAAUUGGAAUCGAUACAGAGAUUAGCAUGGCCCCUACAGAAGGGUAACAGGAUGCUUGGCCUGAGCUGAUUUUCU
rnacentral:snRNA from 1 species